CCUACGGGUGGCUGCAGUGGGGAAUAUUGCACAAUGGGGGAAACCCUGAUGCAGCGACGCCGCGUGAGUGAAGAAGUAUUUCGGUAUGUAAAGCUCUAUCAGCAGGGAAGAAGAAAGACGGUACCUGACUAAGAAGCACCGGCUAACUACGUGCCAGCAGCCGCGGUAAUACGUCGGGGGCAAGCGUUAUCCGGAUUUACUGGGUGUAAAGGGAGCGUAGACGGCUGUGCAAGUCUGAAGUGAAAGCCCAGGGCUCAACCCUGGGACUGCUUUGGAAACUGUGGAGCUAGAGUGCUGGAGAGGUAAGUGGAACUCCAUGUGUAGCGGUGGAAUGCGUAGAUAUAUGGCAGAACACCAGUGGCGAAGGCGGCUCUCUGGUCUGCAACUGACGCUGAGGCUCGAAAGCCUGGGUAGCGAACAGGAUUAGAUACCCGGGUAGUC
rnacentral:rRNA from 1 species